AUGAGCAUUCCCAACACAUAUAUAUUGAGUUAAAAUCGGCAGAGCAAAAUUCGUAUCUAUUGUUGUUUGAUGUUUUAAACGGGAAAUUCAAAAAGGAUAUCUAAGGCUGUGCUCAUUGUAUCUAUUCAAUAGAAGGUUCGCAUAUGAAAAACUCUAAAUACAUAUGUACAUACAUACGAACAAGUAUGUUAAUAAUAAGUAGAAACGCAAUGUACUUCCAGAUUAAAGAUGGCAACACAUGAUGGGGCUCAGUC
rnacentral:sRNA from 1 species